UGGGGAAUAUUGCACAAUGGGCGCAAGCCUGAUGCAGCCAUGCCGCGUGUAUGAAGAAGGCCUUCGGGUUGUAAAGUACUUUCAGUCGGGAGGAAGGUGGUAAGGUUAAUAACCUUGGCAAUUGACGUUACCGACAGAAGAAGCACCGGCUAACUCCGUGCCAGCAGCCGCGGUAAUACGGAGGGUGCAAGCGUUAAUCGGAAUUACUGGGCGUAAAGCGCACGCAGGCGGUUGAUUGAGUCAGAUGUGAAAUCCCCGGGCUUAACCCGGGAAUUGCAUCUGAUACUGGUCAGCUAGAGUCUUGUAGAGGGGGGUAGAAUUCCAUGUGUAGCGGUGAAAUGCGUAGAGAUGUGGAGGAAUAACGGUGGCGAAGGCGGCCCCCUGGACAAAGACUGACGCUCAGGUGCGAAAGCGUGGAGAGCAAACAGG
rnacentral:rRNA from 1 species